CGGAACGUGGCCUAGCCUGGUAAGGCGCUUGACUGGGGGUCAAGAGAUCGGAGGUUCAAAUCCUCUCGUUCCGACCA
rnacentral:tRNA from 1 species